rnacentral:lncRNA from 1 species
GGACACACAGGAAGUUGUCAUCCUCUGUUUGUGCUCGGUCCAGUCUCAUUUCUGACAAUAACACGCGCGUUGUUUUUAUCGCAAUUGAAUUUAAUGCCCAAGGAGCGAAGAAGUUUCCAAAAUAUUUUGAGAUUUUUUGAGCGACAGUCCGUCAAAUAACGAGUUAUUGAGGCAACAUGACGAGUAGGAAAGGAUACUACGCUAACAGGGAUGCUUCGAAAGUGUAUCAAAGUGUAUCUAUUUUAUUGUUUUCCUCGAUGGAGAGCGCAUUCCAUUUCUGCGUCUGCCCAUGAAUGGCCAUGAUAUACCUGCAUCCUCAAGCUUCUACAAAGGUUGUCAAGAAAAGAAUCCUAGAAGGAUUGGAGAUUGCUCCGAACAUAGCUGCAAUGUUGAUCCUUCAGAGAAAUCGCUUGUUGAAGCCCAUCAAUCGAGGUUUUAAUGACUAUAAAAUUUUCUUUAUUACACUAUUUCACUAUCGUUAAUAUAUACGAACUGUUUAUCUAUUUUGUUUACAAACUGAAACCCAUAAUAUAAUUAUAAAGGCCUAAAGAUAUGAUACUCGAGACUAGUGAGUUGUCGAUGAAAAAAUAAUGAACAAUUUGGAGUGAACAUGUUUGGGACUUUGGGGAUGGCUGUUUAUAUAUACAUGUUAUUGUCACUUGUCAGAGUGAUAAUCUACUUGGCUGUGGCAGUGAUUUACUGUCUUUGACUGUCUGCUCAUGGACAACUUGUGCUCACUUAAAACUUAAUAGAAACACAUCAAAAAGUUUCUCUGAUCAAAGCUAAAGUAGAUUUUAAUUUGAUCAAAGCACAUAACAGUUUAAAUGCCAUUUAGUUGCUCUGAAGUUACAGUACUUGACCUAAUGGGGUGUUUAUAUGGAGGCAAGCCAGCUCUCGGGUGCCUGAGCUAGCUCGCUUGGCCGAGAUCUAAUGUUGCUAGAUAAUUUAUACUAAUAUUCGUAUUGUGUGUAUAUGAGAACCAGGCUUGCUUGCCUAAGCAAGAUCUUGUUUAAUUUGUGAAGCCCGACAGAGCCCCAGAUCUCGCCUAGGUUGGCUGGUUUGCCUAAGCCGCUCAAUACGAAUAUAUUGUACUAAUUGUAGUAAAUAAGACUUUCUCAACAGAUUUUUGAUCUAUAAUUUUAUAAAUUAAUGCCUCUGUGAACAGUUGUGAUGGUCAUAACCAUGACAGUUUCUCGCGAUGAUUUGUUUUGGUGCCAGCCUACUACAUGAUGAAAUUAGCUAGGCAAAGCCACCUAGCUCAGGUAACUGGGCUGGCUUGCUUCCAUAUAAACACCCCUAAGACAUUUAGUUUAUAAAAGAUUUUGAUCACAAAUACUUAUAUGAUGUAAACAAACUCAACUAAAAAGUAUAUUUUCCACCCUAAUUGUAAGUAAAAGCUUGCAUAUAAGAACCUGUAUAAGGGCCUGUCAGGCUAAUUUUUCAGUAUUUAGACACUCAAUCUGUUUAGGCUAGUAUUUCAGGUUCUUAUUUUAUCACAUGGAAACCAGUCAGAUCUAAAAAUGUAUAAAAAUCAAAGAGAAUAAACUCUUCACAAAGUAAUGAAAAUGAUCCAGAACCCUGAAAAUGUCAUUGAGAUAAAUAAAGUGUAGCUUUGCAGUGCAUACAGCUUUGUAUAAGUGCAUAUAUACUGGCAUUUUUAGAUGAUCAUGACUGAUAUAGUUACUAUACAUGUCUUGUCCAAAAGUGGGGUCUGGGGGUUUGAAAUCAGAGCUUUCUUUCUCCUAGAUGGAUUGCCAGCCAAGGCUUAUGAGCUCCAUCUACACAAAGGAAUCUGAUUUUAAGGUGCCAGACACUUGCCAGUUCAUAUUGUACUAUAAUUGCCUGAUUUUGUGUCACAAAGAGUGGCACCAUCCCAUUAUCUAUGUUGCCAGAACAGGCUGCUGUGCAUGGUCUGUUUUGGGACAAAAUUAGACAACACAGUAAAUUAAAACCCUGCGAAUAAGAACCUAGAUUUUUUCCAAGUUAGCCUAAACAGGUUCUUAUGUACAGGGUCUGAAAUAUAUUUUAGUAUCCUGAUAUCCACAGGAUACCAAAAAUUUGAUUUUGGAUACCAAAUUAUGAAUAAUACUAUCCUGACUGGAUACUAAAAAAUUUCCUUUGAUAGGCUCCUGAAAGUUUUUGAAUAUUAUCAGUUUACCACCAGUCUUUCCUCAAUGAGGACUAGCAUAUAGAAGUUUGUUGAAGGAUUAUGUGGAUUAAUUGUUUAUUUGUUGUUGACUGUGGAGUCUCCUCAGUUGUUAUUGUAAUUUGUAACAGUGAGUGUUAUGGAAACUUAUUUGGAUGGGAUAGGAUAUACUAAACUUUGAAUCCUGGUAUCCCCUUUGGAUACUGAGAAAAAAUAUAAAUUUCAGACCCUGAUGUAAAUGGCGCUUAUCUGAUUGUUCAUGUUACAAACUGUAAUUAUAUUUAGUAGCUAUAUUCAGUAUUCUCAGGGGGCCAUAUAAAGGCUAUAAAUAAAGCCCUGGAGUCAUGUUUGUGCUUUACCCCUUGGAGUUCUCCUUUAAUGUCUGUAUAUAUACAUAUUACCAUAUAACCCAAUAAAUCUGUUAAAGAAAGAUUCGUUGAUGUAAAUCAAAAUUUCAUCAGUGUUUCCUGGGCAUUCUGAUGAGCUCUGAUAUAGAGCGAAACAAGCAUAU